rnacentral:rRNA from 1 species
UACGUAGGGUGCAAGCGUUGUCCGGAAUUAUUGGGCGUAAAGAGCUCGUAGGCGGUUUGUCGCGUCUGCUGUGAAAACGCGAGGCUCAACCUCGCGCCUGCAGUGGGUACGGGCAGACUAGAGUGCGGUAGGGGAGAUUGGAAUUCCUGGUGUAGCGGUGGAAUGCGCAGAUAUCAGGAGGAACACCGAUGGCGAAAGCGGCUCUCUGGGACGGUACUGACGCUGAGACGCGAAAGCGUGGGGAGCAAACAGG